AGAAUCAACGCUGGCGGCGUGCCUAACACAUGCAAGUCGAACGAGAAAGGGGUAGCAAUACCCUGAGUAAAGUGGCGCACGGGUGAGUAACACGUGACUAACCUACCCUUGAGUGGGGGAUAACUGAGGGAAACCUUAGCUAAUACCGCAUAAUACCCACGGGUCAAAGGAGCAAUUCGCUCGAGGAGGGGUCGCGGCCGAUUAGUUAGUUGGCGGGGUAAUGGCCCACCAAGACGAUGAUCGGUAUCCGGCCUGAGAGGGGCGCGACGGAACGACGACCUGGAACGUGAAACACGGUCCAGACUCCUACGGGAGGCAGCAGUGGGGAAUUUUGCGCAAUGGGGAAACCCUGACGCAGCAACGCCGCGUGGAGGAUGAAGUCCUUCGGGACGUAAACUCCUUUCGAUCGGGACGAUUAUGACGGUACCGGAAGAAGAAGCCCCGGCUAACUUCGUGCCAGCAGCCGC
rnacentral:rRNA from 1 species